UGGGGAAUCUUGCGCAAUGGGCGAAAGCCUGACGCAGCGACGCCGCGUGAGGGAAGAAGGCCUUCGGGUUGUAAACCUCUUUCAGGAGGGACGAAGCCACUCGGGUGAAUAGCCCAGAGGGUGACGGUACCUCCAGAAGAAGCCCCGGCUAACUACGUGCCAGCAGCCGCGGUAAUACGUAGGGGGCAAGCGUUGUCCGGAUUUAUUGGGCGUAAAGAGCGUGUAGGCGGCUUCACAGGUCCGCUGUGAAAACUCGAGGCUCAACCUCGAGCUGUCGGUGGAAAACCGUGUGGCUAGAGGUCCGGAAGAGGAGAGUGGAAUUCCCGGUGUAGCGGUGAAAUGCGCAGAUAUCGGGAAGAACACCCGUGGCGAAGGCGGCUCUCUGGGACGGUACUGACGCUGAGACGCGAAAGCGUGGGGAGCGAACA
rnacentral:rRNA from 1 species